ACGGAGCAAGUUGGUGCUGCUUUAAUAGUGCACGAACAACCUUCCUUUCUGAGUCCCUGACUGCUGAAGAGCGAGGCUAGUCCCGGCUUGACCAGCGACAUUUCUGUCUGUGUCAUAACCAAAUGAGGCAUUGGAGUUGUCACAUUACUUGGAAGAGGUAUUGAGAAAAACGUGGAAACAACAUUGAGAUAGGAAGAGAAAUGACAACCCCGGCCUGUAUAACACUGUCCCUUGCAGGCAGGUAUUCAGAGCAUCUGGAGAACGUCUCCUAUGGCCAGACAUCUGCAUCAGCAAGCUCACUGGGGACCUGCCAGGCUCUUCACUGGUGACAUGGAGGAUGAUGGUCUCCAGCCCCGUCUGCAGACUUAGCUGUGACCUGGCCCAGAUCCAUGGCCUGCCAAAGCAGGAGACCCCCACAGUUCUGCACCUAAUGGGGAGAGUCCUCCUUGUUUUCCUGCCUGAAGGACAGGAAUGCUUUGGGGUUCCCCAAAAGCUGAACAGCAGCCAGUUCCAAAAAGCUCAGGCCACCUCUUUCUCCAUGAGAUGAUCCAGCCGAGCUUCAACUUGUUUGGCACAAACAGCUGAAAUUCUUCACUGGGCUUGAUCAGCAGGAGGAAGCUCUGCAGACCAGUUUGGUGCAGGAGCCUGGGGAAGAAAAGACCUUCCUGGAAAUGAGGACUCUAGCCUGACUUUGAAUAACUCCUUUUGAAGGACCAGGUUACAUCUGAAAAGAAAGUAUAGCCGCUGUGCGUGGGACAUCGUCAGACUGGAAGUUAAGGUAUGAAAAUAGGCUGUGCUUUCCCUGUAGCAUCAACCUCAGCGAAAACCCAGAAGUGGGCAAGGAGACUUGAAGCCAGUCAUCCGCAAUUGGGUUUUACCUACUUAUAGGUGCCUCUUGUGUGUCAGUGUUCCCUCAGUUCAAAGACUUUUCUGCUUCGGUUGUAAAUGCAUUGAGUCAUCUCAGCACAUUGAUUUUAGUUGUAACUGGAGGUGAGACUCUUGAAUCCAGAGGAAAUAUAUUUUAAGAUUUGUAAUAAUUAGAAUUUAUCUUUCUAUUAUGAUUGUUGCAUUUACAAAAUUUAUACUUAUUAUAAACAAGUAUGUGAGAUCCCAUGGAUCAGGGAAAGCUUCUGGAAGAAGCAGCUGGUGAGCUGCCAUCUCAAGGGUCUGCAGGGUUAGCCAGGUAAUUGCAUGAUGGCCAGUGGUGGACAUGUUGUGUGGAGAUCGUGUAGGGUAGCAGGCAGAUAAAGGGUUUGGAGAGGAACAAGUGUUUUGAGAUGUGGCUCUGGGUAAAGUCAUGCAUAUGGAAGUUGUAAUCUCAGAGAUGACAUUUGGAACCAUUUGGGAGGUCGAGACUCUAUGUGCAGAGAGGAUAAGUGUGAUGCCUAGUGUGGAAUUUUGAGGAAAACCAAAGGUCCCUAAGAUGAGAGGGAGGAAUCAGCAAAAGAAGGAGAAGAGGAGGAGCAGAAAAGCAGAGGAUGGUGGUGACAUGGAAACCAGCUGAAGGUCCAACUUUAAAAUGGUCAAUGUGGGAACAAGUGUUUGAUGCUUCUGAAAUGUCAGCUGGGGCUGCCUGACGGAGAACUGUGGCCUCAUUAAGAUGUAGUUUGUUACACACCUAGGCUGAGCAGAGUGAUGGGCACCAGAUUACAGCAAUUUGAGAAAUGGGCUGCAUGUGAAGAGAUAUGGUCUCAUAUUGCAGAGAAGUUCUAGACGUUUGGGUAUGACCAGAAUAAGAUCAUACCUACAGGUGGUUGUAACGCUAAGGAAUGGUCAUAUUCCUGAUGUCGAAGAUGAAAAUUAAGCACUUUUAAUGUUGAUCAAAACCCAGCCUGUCCAAAGGAAGAUGCGGAUACAGCAGAGAGAGGAGCUCACUGAUAAAGCAUAAGCAUCUUGCUAAAGCCUUUUCCACUUUGCAGCAAGGGAAUCUCUCCCCAAAGCUGUAUCUUCUGAAACUGACCCUCCAUGAGGAAUUGGACCCUGGAACAGCCAUGCAUGCAGAAUUUCCCAUCCCAGGAUCAAACCAACACCACAGCAGUGACAACACCAGAUCCUAAAUCCACUGAGACCAUCAGGGAACUCCCAAUAGUGGAGUUCUUUAAAUAAGUAAGAAAGUGACAAUGCAAAGCUGUAGCAGCAUUUGUUGUGGAAAGGAAAUUCAGAGAAGAAACUUGAAUUUCCAGUGGAUGUGAUGGGAAAGGCUGUCUCCUGUCCUCAUGAGCUGGUCUUGAAGCUAAAGUCUCAGCUCCACAUCUGAUCUCAGCUCUGCUCUGUGAUGCUGGGGCUCCACUGCCAUCCACCACAUUUCUCCUCUGCCAGUAGGUUUAUUUCCUUUUAAAGUGCUUCCAUACAAGUCCCAAGAGAUGGGCUAGAAGGCUUGAGGAAAUUUUCUGUUUUCCUGACUGGGCUGUGACUGAAAACAGUGACCAUCAAUAGGAAAAGGACAACUAGUGGAUCUUCUAGAUGCUAUUUGUCACCUAUCAGGUUGGCAGAAACUAAGAAGGAGUGAUGAGAUCCUGUUUUGGUCAAUGCCUAGAAACAUAUAUAAACGUAUACACUCUCAAAUAUGAUUAAUAUAGUCAUUGUCAUCGUGGACAGUUGGCAGUAUAUGUUUGCAAUAUGUGUGUAUUUUGACCAAGAAAUUUUGCUUCAUGACACCUUCUUCAGAGAAAGACUCUCCCUUGGAUAUAAGACACCUGCAUGAUAACUGUAGCAACUUAUUUUUUAAACUUAAAAACAACUAAGAAAAUGUCAACUAGACAAUGUGGGCAAAUGAAAGAGAAAGGAAAACAGAGCAAGAAGCAGACCAGUGAAAGAGUUUCUUGUUGCACCCAUCUCAUGUGGAGCAGAUCUUGGCCCCUGUGUGUGUGUCUCUGGAGGAAAGAUCAGAUCUGGAAACCAGAUGUGACUUGUUAUGUGACCCAAGUCAGGACAUUCUUCUCUUCUCAGCCACCAGCUCCCUUUGGGUGAGCGUCGUUGGCCACAGGAGCGUAAGGACGGUCCCUGUCCUGAAGGUCACCUCCUCUGGGUUCUCUAGUCCUGGAUUUGCAUCUAUUUGGUUACUCAUCUUCUCUUAACUUCACGGUGAGAAUCUCGAAUGAAAAGAUGACUGUACAUCUUAUGUAUUAAUUUUGCAAUGAAAAGCAACCAGGUCCCCCAUCACACCACAUGUCACCAGCUUCCCAGGACGAGGUGAGUCUUUCCAUCAGAUAUUUACAUGGGCCACUCUUUGCUGACUGAAUAUAAAUCAGGUCCACCCAUGACAGAAGCACUAACAGUUUUCCAUGAUUUCCAAGGCUUCUCUCCAUUCCAUGGAGUUCCACUUUUUGACAAGCAUUUCCUGUAAAAUAGUGGGACUAUUCCAUAGGACUAAAGGAACAAAUAUUCUGAGAUUUAUAUAAAAAAUAAGGAUUUUGUUUUGCAGAAUUAAAAAAACUCAAGAAGUUUUCUUUGGUAACUAUUUUAUAAAUAAAAUGAAAGACUGGGAAUCUGGGGGUUAAUAGAUGCAAACUAUUGCCUUUGGAAGGGUAAGCAAUGAGAUGCUGUUGUAUAGCACUAGGAACUAUAUCUAGUCACUUAUGAUGGAGGAUAAUGUGAGAAAAAGAAUGUAUGUAUGACUGGGUCACUUUGCUGUACAGUACAAAUUGACAGAGCACUGUAAACCAACUAUAAUGGAAAAA
rnacentral:lncRNA from 1 species